UCUUAAAGCCUUUACUUUGAGACAUAAUGGAAAAAUCUUACAGGUACACAUGGAAAAGUAAGAUGUGAUCACAGUUAAAAGUGAAGACAAUCUAACUAGAGAGCUGUGAUGCCUGUCAACUAAUGCAGAAGCUAAAUUUCUGAGUGUGAUAAGUUGCAGGGCUGAAAGGAAUGGUAAUUAGUAUUUCUCUCCUUCUUCUUCACUCUCUCUUUAAACAAAAUCCACACCAACCUCCUCAUAAUCCUUCUCAAGAUUAUGGAAUCUCAUAAAGGAUUUCUUAGGCCAUGCCCUCCCAGUCCUCAGAAAACUCUCCUUCCUCCGCAUCCUCACCCACAUACCAGUGAAUAAAAGCAUGCUGAACAUACAUCAAGUCAAACUUGUGGUCCAGGCAAGCCUAGGCUGCAGGAAUGGCGAUGGUGUUGCUCAGCAUGCACACAGUUUGCUGUACUGUGGCUAGGUCUCCACCAGGUACCAGUGGGAGGCUGGUAAUUAAUGCCAACUUUGAAGCCAAUGGGGCACCAGUCCACAAACUGGACGUUGUGCUUGGUCUUCAUGGUGGCAAUGGAAACAUCAACAUCUUUGAGAACCACAUCGUCAUGGUACAACAGGCAGAAAGCCACAUAUUUACCAUGAUGGGGGUCACAUUUCACCAUCUGGUUGGUUGGUUAAAACCAUGCAUUAGUGAUCUCUGCUGCAGAAAGAUGUUCAUGGUAGGUUUUCACAGCAGAGAUGACAAGAGCACAUGUGGCCAGGGGGAAGUGGAUGCAGGGAUAGGAUACCAGGUUGAUGUGGAAUUCUGUCAGACCAUUAUUCAGGGCUCCAUCAAAUCUGAGGGAAGCAAUGAUGGAAGACACAACCUGGCUAGUAAGGCAGCUAAGAUUAGUGUAGGUUGGGGAUUCAAUAUUGAAACUUUUACAACAGAUGUCAUAGAUGGCUUCAUUGUCUACCAUG
rnacentral:lncRNA from 1 species